rnacentral:rRNA from 1 species
ACGCUCGACACCUACGGGGGGCAGCAGUGAGGAAUAUUGGUCAAUGGGCGCUAGCCUGAACCAGCCAAGUAGCGUGAAGGAUGAAGGCUCUAUGGGUCGUAAACUUCUUUUAUAUAAGAAUAAAGUGCAGUAUGUAUACUGUUUUGUAUGUAUUAUAUGAAUAAGGAUCGGCUAACUCCGUGCCAGGAGCCGCGGUAAUCUGAGCGGGCUGGCAAGGC